rnacentral:rRNA from 1 species
CUGUCGACNGGAUCCUGUAGUUGUAUCCUGGCUCAGAAGGAACGCUGGCAGCGUGCAUAACACAUGCAAGUCGAACGUGAGUACUCUUCGGGGUAUGAAAGUGGCGAACGGGUGAGUAACACGUAAGAAUCUACCUUUAGGACGGGGAUAACUUCUGGAAACGGAUGCUAAUACCCGAUAUGCUGUGGAGUGAAAGAAUUUCGCCUAAAGAUGAUCUUGCGUCUGAUUAGCUAGAUAGGGUGGUAACGGCACACUAUGGCGACGAUCAGUAGCUGGUCUGAGAGGAUGGACAGCCACAUUGGAACUGAGACACGGUCCAAACUCCUACGGGAGGCAGCAGUGGGGAAUUUUCCGCAAUGGGCGAAAGCCUGACGCAGCAACGCCGCGUGCGGGAUGAAGGCCUUCGGGUUGUAAACCGCUUUUACCAGGAAGGAAAAUGACAGUACCUGGAGAAUAAGGUGCGGCCAACUACGUGCCAGCAGCCGCGGUGACACGUAGGCACCAAGCGUUGUCCGGAUUUAUUGGGCGUAAAGAGCUCGUAGGCGGUUCAGUAAGUCGGGUGUGAAAACUCUGGGCUUAACCCAGAGACGCCACCCGAUACUGCUGUGACUUGAGUCCGGUAGGGGAGUGGGGAAUUCCUGGUGUANCNGUNAANUGCNCNNAUNUNNNGANNANCNCCNNUNNNNAANGCNCCNCUCUNGNNCNANNCNGANNCU